GAUGAACGCUAGCUACAGGCUUAACACAUGCAAGUCGAGGGGCAGCACAGUGUAGCAAUACACGGGUGGCGACCGGCGCACGGGUGCGUAACGCGUAUCCAACCUUCCCGAUACUCUUGGAUAGCCUUCCGAAAGGGAGAUUAAUACAAGAUGGUGUUUCACUUUCGCAUGUUAUUGAAACUAAAGAUUUAUCGGUAUCGGAUGGGGAUGCGUGACAUUAGAUAGUAGGCGGGGUAACGGCCCACCUAGUCUACGAUGUCUAGGGGUUCUGAGAGGAAGGUCCCCCACACUGGAACUGAGACACGGUCCAGACUCCUACGGGAGGCAGCAGUGAGGAAUAUUGGUCAAUGGACGCAAGUCUGAACCAGCCAUGCCGCGUGCAGGAUGACGGCUCUAUGAGUUGUAAACUGCUUUUGUAUAUGGGUAAAUGUAGGUACGUGUACCUAUUUGAAAGUAAUAUACGAAUAAGGAUCGGCUAACUCCGUGCCAGCAGCCG
rnacentral:rRNA from 1 species